GGGUGCAGCAGGAAGUCUGUUGCAGGAUAACGGGUGGUCGGGCCGCCACAC
rnacentral:ncRNA from 1 species